UACGUAGGGUGCAAGCGUUAAUCGGAAUUACUGGGCGUAAAGCGUGCGCAGGCGGUUCUAUAAGACAGAAUGUGAAAUCCCCGGGCUCAACCUGGGAACUGCAUUUGUGACUGUAGAGCUGGAGUACGGCAGAGGGGGAUGGAAUUCCGCGUGUAGCAGUGAAAUGCGUAGAUAUGCGGAGGAACACCGAUGGCGAAGGCAAUCCCCUGGGCCUGUACUGACGCUCAUGCACGAAAGCCAGGGGAGCGAACGGG
rnacentral:rRNA from 1 species